GGAGUUGAUUAUGUAGGUGCCCUCAGGAAACACUAUUGUCAUGGCCAGGAUACUGCAAGGAUCUAUUUGUCCAGUAAGGAAAGUGGCAGUGACAUGAGACUGACCCAUCUGAUCAGCAUGUGGGAAGGCUGAUGGCAGCAGUGUGCAUGUGGAUUUUGGGUCAGGCUCAAUGGAAAUUGAUCCAGCCACAAAUGCCAAGGGCACUCCAGAGUUUCCAGCAAACUCCAGACUUGGCUUCUCUGACUUGGCUUACUGCAAGGAUGGGUUAAUGGCUUAAAUUCCAGAAUUUUGCUGGAAGUUACUGUGUGUCAUGAGGACUACCAGAACCAUUUUUAAGGAUUCUCACACAAAGCUGUUUCUCUCUGGUGAAUUCCAUAUAAACAUGCAAGUGUUACCUAUGAAUAGCAGCUUAUUGGAGGCAAGCGGCACUGUGGAGAACAAAGUAUGUAUAUAGUGACAACAGUAAAUACUCCUUGCCACUUUC